GCGAGGAUGAAAGGGUCUGAAGUUGAGCAGGCGAUGGUGGAGGUGUCCCAGAGAGGAAGACUGGAGGUGGGGAGUCUGAGCCUGCAGGACGGGGAGGGGCGCAGGCAUGGUCGGCAGGCUGCAGGGAGGGGUGCAGGCGUGGUCGGCAGGAAACUACCUGAAGCCCCGGGAACUGAUGCAGCCAAUCAAGAUCCGUCGAAAGAAGCGAGGGCAGAGCGAGGGGUAGGAGAUCACUGGUGUGGGGAGAGGGGUGGAGCCUCGCUGCAGGGCAGAAGAGGAGGGAGGGGCCAACAGAAUGCAUGGCAGCAGCUUACCCCGUCCUCUGCCUCAGGAUGGCUUCCCAGUGAUAAAGUGGCAGAGAGGUCAGGUCAAACCCAUCCCCUUCCAUUUCCUACCCAUGUAAUUCUACUAGGCUCUGACCUACAAACCAUCACCAUUCAACCCCGCCCCACCUCCAUCCCCACCUCGACCCCCCUUUCCUCACGUCACGGCCCCUUUCCUGGCCCCCACCCAGGCCUUCCUACACCCUGCCCCUUUCCCCUGUGGUGCCCCCCCACACACACCUCUAAUCCUGGGCAGAGUAACACACAACUUGCCCAGGUAUACACGCCUCAACCAGAACACAGCAACAAACCUCUAACCCUGGGCAGAGUAACACACACCUGGCCCAGGUAUACACACCUCAACCAGAACACAGCAACAAACCUCUAACCCUGGGCAGAGUAACACACACCUGGCCCAGGUAUACACACCUCAACCAGAACACAGCAACAAACCUCUAACCCUGGGCAGAGUAACACACCUGGCCCAGGUAUACACGCCUCAACCAGAACACAGCAACAAACCUCUAACCCUGGGCAGAGUAACACACACCUGGCCCAGGUAUACACACCUCAACCAGAACACAGCAACAAACCUCUAACCCUGGGCAGAGUAACACACACCUGGCCCAGGUAUACACGCCUCAACCAGAACACAGCAACACACCUCUAACCCUUAGACUGGAGAAGAAAGACUAAGGCGUUACCAGGGGUGGAGUCUCGAAGGGCAACGGCCCAAUCAGACCAAAGCCCGGCCAGCAGCAGAGUCUGACACUACCCAGAAAUCCCCACCCCUACCCAAUCCCCCAAUCAGAACCCCCGAGAAGCUCAGACGUGAGAGUGCUAAGCCAAUCAGACAGAGCGAGAAGAAUGUGAGGGGACUGUCUGGGGCAGUGGCUAUUGUGAAGAGAGAGAGAGGCAGACCGAAGGUUACUAGCUCUCCAGCUACACCUGUACAGACCAGCCUUGCAGAACAGAUCAGCCUAGAGGGAGAAACAAGGAGGAGGAAGAAAAAGAGGAGAGUAGAAGCCUCAGCUGGGGUGGGAGAAAGGACCAGAGCCAGGGAGGACAAGCAAGAAACAGAGCCAGCGAGGACAAGCGAGAAACAGAGCCAGCGAGGACAAGCGAGAAACAGAGCCAGCGAGGACAAGCGAGAAACAGAGCCAGCGAGGACAAGCGAGAAACAGAGCCAGCGAGGACAAGCGAGAAACAGAGCCAGCGAGGACAAGCGAGAAACAGAGCCAGCGAGGACAAGCGAGAAACAGAGCCAGCGAGGACAAGCGAGAAACAGAGCCAGCAAGGAGGAGAGUGGAGGAGGAGAUGACGAAGGGAGGGGAGGAGAGAGAGCCAGCGAGGACAAGUCCAGAAGUAGAGCUAGUCCCGCCGGCCCAUACGCUCACAGGUCCAGAACCCCCAGCCUGUUGAGUAGGUACACCCCGAGGACAGAGAGGAGUCUGGGAAGGAAGUGACCACAGAGGAGGAGGAUGUCGAUGUCACUCAGGUAACUGCCUCCUCAACCUUCCAGAAAAACAGGGUGGUCCUGCAGACACAGCUGAGAGAGAGAUGGAGAGGGGGAACGAGAGGGACAAGGAGAGGAAACAGGAUGGACCGAGCUCAAACCACGAAGGACCGAUCAUACAGAAGAGAGGGAGAAAUGUAUGUAUGGAUGAAGAGAUGGAGAAAAGGGAAGAAGAAAUGGAUGUGGAGGACAUCGGAGCGAUUGAAGAGCAUCUAGAAGAAUGGAUGACAGACAGCGCAGAUAAACAGACAACAGAACUCCACAACCCAGCAAUCCAAAUAGCAGAGUGGAAGGUCCCAGUUCAGAUGCAUUCUGGGAUAGUAAAGCCUCCAGUCUCCCAUCCUUUGAUGUCCACAACAGGUGGACAUCGAAGGGUCAACAGGAAGCUGGGAGCAAGAGGAAGUGGAUGUGUUUGGGGGCUUUAGCGGAGCUUGGUUCAGAGGAAGAUAUCAAUGUCAUUGGAGAAGAGUUGGACCCACGCCCCUUCUAUCGGAUCUGUCAUCUCUGCUCUGACUGAGGGGACUGCAGACACACGAGUGACCAACCUGCUUCUCCCUCCCUGCUAGGUGACAGGAGGUAUGGACAAAUCUCCAAUUACAAACUGAGAGGGCUACCACAUAGACAGCCAUUGCAAAACAACGAGGAAUGUACAGCUUUCUGCUUGAUGGAGAAGCAGGAAUGUUUACAUAAAAGAGGAUUUGGGUGUUUGUGAAAGUUGGGUGAUUGAGUUCAUCCAAUUUACCAAUUGUUAAACAAAAGAGGACGAAUGGAGGUAAAAAAAAUGUUUUUUAAAUAAGAGGAAGUAUUUGAUACGUUGCUGUACCUAUUUCUACCUCACCCAGCUUAUAGGGCUCUGUGCAUGAGUUCUAGUUUUCAGCACAUAGAUUGUCAGUUUUGAAUGUGUGUGUCAGUUCUGUUUCUUUGUCUACACCUCACUGCCCAGACCUUUUAACACAUCAUUGUGUUUAGGUUUUUAAUGACCCGGGUAGAAAAACACAAGCUUUGCUAGCCUCUUGUAGAGAGGAGUUUGGGUUCAUAUAGCAAAUGUUGUUUUUUUGGUUAGUUGCCACCAAAUCGGGUUUUACACGGCUGUUAGUUUAGUUUCGCAGGAAUUGAGGGCUCAGGUUGGUUGAGUGUCAAUCAUCACAGGCCUACCAUCAUCCGAUUCUGCUUCUGACUGUUCUAGAAUGAAAUCACUUCGCCUCAUGGGUCUUGUUGUCAUCAUUGUUCUUGCUGUUGCUUCUCAUUAUUACUGUUCUCCCCAGCAGUUUGACUGUUUUCAGUUUUAUAACCCGAUUACGAGAUUAAAGAUGUUCUUAAUA
ensembl:lncRNA